AACCCUCAUAUUAUCCAGAAUCCUGCUGUGGUUGAAACUUCAAGGUGGACCAAAAUGGUGAUGGUUAAGGCAAGCAAGGCAUUUGGGGUCAACAUGCAAUGAUUCGAACACAAAUUCUCAAACAUAAUUAUGCGUAUGGAAGAAAGGCGGUAGCUGCAAUUACAACAAAAAGAAUCAGCAGAUAAUUCAACAAAGAAGAAGAAAUCAAAG
rnacentral:lncRNA from 1 species